rnacentral:tRNA from 1 species
CCGUAGCUCAAUGGUAGAGCAGUAAACUUUUAAUUUAUUGGUUCCAGGUUCGAGUCCUGGCGGU